GGAAUACCACUGGAAACGGUGAGUAAUACCUUAUACGCCCUUCGGGGGAAAGAUUUAUCGGAAUUGGAUUAGCCCGCGUUAGAUUAGAUAGUUGGUGGGGUAAUGGCCUACCAAGUCUACGAUCUAUAGCUGGUUUGAGAGGAUGAUCAGCAACACUGGGACUGAGACACGGGCCAAACUCCUACGGGAGGCAUCAGNGGGGAAUCUUAGACAAUGGGCGCAAGCCUGAUCUAGCCAUGCCGCGUGAGUGAUGAAGGCCCUAGGGUCGUAAAGCUCUUUCAACUGUGAAGAUAAUGACGGUAGCAGUAGAAGAAACCCCGGCUAACUCCGUGCCAGCAGCCGCGGUAAUACGGAGGGGGUUAGCGUUGUUCGGAAUUACUGGGCGUAAAGCGUACGUAGGCGGAUUAAUAAGUUAGAGGUGAAAUCCCAGGGCUCAACCCUGGAACUGC
rnacentral:rRNA from 1 species